rnacentral:rRNA from 1 species
CGAAAGCGUGGGGAGCGAACAGGAUUAGAUACCCUGGUAGUCCACGCCGUAAACGGUGGAUGCUGGAUGUGGGGACCAUUCCACGGUCUCCGUGUCGGAGCCAACGCGUUAAGCAUCCCGCCUGGGGAGUACGGCCGCAAGGCUAAAACUCAAAGAAAUUGACGGGGGCCCGCACAAGCGGCGGAGCAUGCGGAUUAAUUCGAUGCAACGCGAAGAACCUUACCUGGGCUUGACAUGUUCCCGACAGCCCCAGAGAUGGGGCCUCCCUUCGGGGCGGGUUCACAGGUGGUGCAUGGUCGUCGUCAGCUCGUGUCGUGAGAUGUUGGGUUAAGUCCCGCAACGAGCGCAACCCUCGCCCUGUGUUGCCAGCACGUCGUGGUGGGAACUCACGGGGGACCGCCGGGGUCAACUCGGAGGAAGGUGGGGAUGACGUCAGAUCAUCAUGCCCCUUACGUCCAGGGCUUCACGCAUGCUACAAUGGCCGGUACAACGGGAUGCGACCUCGUGAGGGGGAGCGGAUCCCUUAAAACCGGUCUCAGUUCGGAUUGGAGUCUGCAACCCGACUCCAUGAAGGCGGAGUCGCUAGUAAUCGCGGAUCAGCAACGCCGCGGUGAAUGCGUUCCCGGGCCUUGUACACACCGCCCGUCAAGUCAUGAAAGUGGGUAGCACCCGAAGCCGGUGGCCCAACCUUUUUGGGGGGAGCCGUCUAAGGUGAGACUCGUGAUUGGGACUAAGUCGUAACAAGGUAGCCGUACCGGAAGGUGCGGCUG